CCUACGGGAGACAGCAGUGAGGAAUAUUGGUCAAUGGGCGGGAGGCUGAACCAGCCAAGUCGCGUGAGGGAAGACGGUCCUAUGGAUUGUAAACCUCUUUUGUCGGGGAGCAAAAGACGCCACGCGUGGCGUUCCGAGAGUACCCGAAGAAAAAGCAUCGGCUAACUCCGUGCCAGCAGCCGCGGUAAUACGGAGGAUGCGAGCGUUAUCCGGAUUUAUUGGGUUUAAAGGGUGCGCAGGCGGAAGAUCAAGUCAGCGGUAAAAUUGAGAGGCUCAACCUCGUCGAGCCGUUGAAACUGGUUUUCUUGAGUGAGUGAGAAGUAUGCGGAAUGCGUGGUGUAGCGGUGAAAUGCAUAGAUAUCACGCAGAACUCCGAUUGCGAAGGCAGCAUACCGGCGCUCAACUGACGCUCAUGCACGAAAGUGUGGGUAUCGAACAGGAUUAGAUACCCUAGUAGUC
rnacentral:rRNA from 1 species